rnacentral:rRNA from 1 species
AGUGAACGCUGGCGGUAGGCCUAACACAUGCAAGUCGAACGGCAGCACAGUAAGAGCUUGCUCUUACGGGUGGCGAGUGGCGGACGGGUGAGGAAUACAUCGGAAUCUACUUUUUCUUGGGGGAUAACGUAGGGAAACUUACGCUAAUACCUCAUACGACCUACGGGUUAAAGCAGUGGAUCUUCGGACCUUUCGCGAUUGAAUGAGCUGAUGUCGCAUGAGCUAGUGGGCAUGGUAAAGGCCCACCAAGGCAACGAUGCGUAGCCGAUCUGAGAGGAUGAGCGGCCACACUGGAACUGAGACACGGUCCAGACUCCUACGGGAGGCAGCAGUAGGGAAUCGUUCGCAAUGGGCGAAAGCUUGAAGGAGCAACGCCGCGUGAGUGAUGAAGGGCUUCGGAUCGUAAAGCUCUGUUAUUAGGGAAGAACAAAUGUGUAAGUAACGAUGCACGUCUGGACGGUACCUAAUCAGAAAGAAACGGCUAACUACGUG